GGAGAGGGAAAUAGCUCUGUAGUGAGAGUAUCUGCCUUGCAUGCAGAUGGUCUCAGGUUCAAUCCUUGCCACCUCCU